rnacentral:lncRNA from 1 species
GGGGCAGGAGACCGGAGGGAGUUGAGGUUUUGCACCCGAUAAGGAGACGCAUAAAGGGAACGGGUGGGGACACAGGGCCCCUGCAGCCUCAGGAGGAUCAGCAGUGGCCUGGUUUACUCGUGUCGUCAUUCGUCGUGGGCACCUUGUCCCCGGGGCCGGCCAGUUACUUGGCCUCCUGGCUCAUCAUCCUGCCGGAAGCAUCUCCAGCUUGGGGAUGUUGGAGGGUCCCUGGCCCCACCUGGCUGGGGAUGGAGUGUCUUCCAAAACCGCGAGAAAUAAAUGUCUGUGUCUAAACCCCAACCCUACCACCUCAACUGCCGUGUGUGGUGUUUUGUGAUGGCAGCCCCAGCUGACUGAGACACCUGGUUAGACCGGAAUAAGCAGUACCUGAGUCCCUUAAGAGUGGCCAAAGAAGAAAGAAUCCACUGAGUUGACAUUCCAGUUCAGCUGCAAUCGGUAGCAGUCACCAUUGAACAUCCUUGAAGCAAUUCUUCCAAAAUUACCUUGCAUCAAAGACUGCACAAGAACUGCUCUAAGCGGAAGGACUGAUGUCGGCAACCAGGGUUCCACCAGGGGCUGCAGACAGCCCUUGACCUUCAGGUGGGAAGGUGUCACUGAGUUCAGACCCUCUGGCAAUCCCUAGCUAUCAACAUUUUGAUAAGAAAAUAAGUGGAAAGGUAGAACUGGAAGAUUUUGCUGAAAGAUUGGACAUGGCAUUCAGAGAAACAGAGGUUUUAAUGACAAACUCCAAGUUUUUGGCUGGAGCAACUGGAAGAAUGAGGUUGCCAUGAACCGAAAAGAGAGAUUGCAGAAGUAACCAAAUUUACUCACGUAGGCCAGGAAUUUCUAUGACGUGUUCCAAAUUCAGCCUCUCACUGAACACUUCCAGAGCAAGGCAACAUAAACAUCUGCAAGAAGAACAUUGUGUGAGAAAUAUCAAGUGAGAGUGGAAGAGUCUGCGGAGGGCCUCCCUGGGGCUCACCUGUGCUUUUGCCUGAGCUUCACCGUGUCAAGGAUGCAGCACUUUUUCCCUCUGGAGGAAGCAGCUUUCACCUUGGAAGAAUCUUGACCUUGCCAUUCAAAGUCACCAGACAGGGAAUCUGCCAGUGCCUUGAUCUUAGACUUCCCAGCUUCUGUAACUGUGAGCAAUAAAUGUAUGCUGCUUAUAAACUA